rnacentral:rRNA from 1 species
AACAAAAACAUGUCCUUUUGAGUUUAAUUUAAGGUCUAACCUGCCCAAUGAAAAAUUUAAAUGGCCGCAGUAUUUUGACUGUGCAAAGGUAGCAUAAUCAUUAGUUUUUUAAUUGAAAGCUUGUAUGAAGGGUUGGACGAGAUAAAAACUGUCUUAAAUUAAUUUAUUUUAGAAUUUAAUUUUUAAGUUAAAAAGCUUAAAUGAUAUUAAAAGACGAGAAGACCCUAUAGAUCUUUAUAAUUUUUAUUUUAAUUAAAUUUUAGAAUUAAUUAUUAUUUAAUUUAAAAAUUAUUAUAUUGGGGUAAUAUAAAGAUUAAAAUAAUUCUUUAUUUAUUAAUACAUUAAUUUAUGAUUAUUUGAUCCAAUAUUAUUGAUUAUAAGAUUAAGUUACCUUAGGGAUAACAGCGUAAUUUUUUUAGAGAGUUCAUAUCGAUAAAAAAGUUUGCGACCUCGAUGUUG